rnacentral:lncRNA from 1 species
AGUCAUAAUGGUGGAGGCGUGAUUUACUCUAAUACCAAUUAUAUAACUCAAGAUCUAAUAUAGAACAAAAUAAUAUGGAAAAGAGAUAUCGGAGGAGGAAGAAAAAAAUUAAACUAAUACUUUAUUAACAAAAAGUAAUUAAUUACAUCGUGGGCGACACUCUCAGCCUUAUGCAAUCAUGUCUACUGUGACUUAUUCAUCUAAUUAAUCCACGUCUAACUAUAUAUACCUAUCCAAGUCAUAACAGAUGAUAAAUCCAACGUUUAUUUUGAAUAAUUACGAAUCCUAAUCGUAAUCAAAUAAAUAAUUUAAACUUAUCUCUAACUAUAUUUUAGUUAAGUUUGGAUUAUUAUUCUAACAACAAAGACAAAAUAAUAGUAUUGCUGUGAGUGCGCGUGCUAAUUUGGCUGCUUAUGCGAAUAGCAGGAGCCAUCUGAAAGGGAAUUUGGAGAGUAAAACAAAUUUGAUGGAAUCAAACAACCCUAUCAGAGUGGAAUUCUCGAAUCGGAUUUAGAGAUGUCAACGGGUCGGAUUCGGGGCGAAUUUUUAAAAACUCGAACCCGAACCCGAUUCCAAACCCGAGACCCGAACCCGAACCCGAACCCGAACCCGACGGAUUUUAAAAAUCCAUAUCCAAACCCGAACCCAAACCCGAACCCGAAAAUUUGAACCCGAACCCGAAAAUUUGAAUCCGAAACAAUUAUUUUUUUUUCAAUAUUUCAAAAUAUAUUAUAUUAAAUUUAAAUUUUUAAAAUACAAAUUCAAAUAUAACAUUAAAUUUUUAUAUAUAUAUUAUAUAUAAUACAAAAUAAAUUCGGAUUCGGGCCGGUUCGGGUUCGGGUCGUGUACAAUCAAAAUCCAUAUCCGAAUCCAUAUCCGUCGGGUUUUUAUUUUUUAAAUCCAUAUCCAAAUCCAUAUCCAUAUCCAUCGGAUAUAUCCGUUUCAUUCGGGUUCAGGUUCGGAUAAAAUUUCGGGUAUCCAUAUCCACUGACAUCCCUAAUCAGAUUAGAUUGUGACUCUCAUGAAAUUUGGAAUAGUUCUAUAUAAGGUAUAAUAGGACAAAAAACUUUUUAAUCCGACUAUAAUAUUAUGGGUAGUAGUUAGACUCGAGAGCUAAGAAUGUUGAGCGUGCUAAGACUUUGAAUCUUUAGUG